CGCAACCCUAUUCGAAGCAUGGCUGUAACAAAUAAAAAAGAGGCACCCAACCGCCUUCCUCACUUGAUUUCCAAACUGUUUCCAGAUGUAGAGAAUUCAUAGAUGAUUCAUCUAUCAUGACCACUUUGUAGACACCCGCUUAAAAGUACUUGGAUCAUGUCUCCCCCCUCUGCUCCACUAGCUCUGUUCCGGCUAUUUUUUUUGUUUUUGUUUUUGUGAAAUUCAGGUGAUACAACACUGAUGAGCAUCCUAAGGACUUCUCACCUCUCUCUGUUGCUGGCAAGGAACCUGGAGCAAACUUAAGGUACCACUCACUUCACCAGCGCAACACACCAAAUACGCAGUACCACUCAAAAGCUUUUAGUGCCAGCUAAUGUCAUGUGUCCUGAGAUACAUUAUAGCAAUAGAACGAUCAAAGUUAACAUUAAUAACCUGUUUCUGAUAGAACACUGCAGACUGUAGGUGGUCAAAACUUUAUAAA